GUGCUCACGUCAGCAGCAUGUGAACUAAAACUGGAGCGACACAGAGAUUAGCAUGGCCCCUGCGCGAGGAUGACACAAAAAAUUAAGAAGGAGCCAUCCUGACA